ensembl:snRNA U6 U6 spliceosomal RNA
GUGCUCCGUUCCGCAGCACGCACACCCGAGUUGGAACGAUACAGAGGAGAUCAGCAAGGCUCCCACACAAAGGUGACUUGCAAAUCAGUGAAGUGUGCUGUGUUUUU